CCUGUCAGUUCUGUAGGCCACUGCUGUGUCUAUCCUACUGAGCACACACAGGGGUUUAUAUGGAGCAAAGGAACUC
rnacentral:ncRNA from 2 species